UAUUAAUUGAUUUUUAACUGUUUAAAAAAUUGUUAUGGUUUGCCAUCUUAUCUCUUUGUUAGUUUUUCAAAGACUUGGGCAAUUUCAAUCCUCAAAUUUCUCAAGUUUGGUGGAUCCCAGGUUCCUUUUCUAAAAACCUAAAUUUGCAUAAUCUGGAUGUCUCACAGGCCUGAAUAAAUACCUCUCUCAAGUUGUUAAACCUAAGUAAUUGCUCCUCUUAGGAGCCCCAAAAAUGUUCAUAUGUUUCUUCCUGGCAAGAAUUCUCUGGAAUCUGGGAGACUGCAUCCGUUAGAGCCCAAGAGGUUUCUUGAUAGCUGGGAUUUCAUUUAUUUAUUUAUUUAGAGACAGGGUCUCACUUUGUUGUCCAGGCUGGAGUGCAGUGGCAUGAUUAUACUUCACUGCAGCCUCAAUCUCCUGGACUCAAGCAAUCCUCCUGCCUCAGCCUCUGGAGUAGCCAUGACUACAGGUGCAUACUCCUAUGCCUGGCCAAGACAAUUGGCAUUUCCAAGACAAAGUCUCACUCUGUUGCUCAGACUGGAGUGCAGUGGCACCAUCAUGACUCACUACAGCCUCAACCUCCUAGGCUCAGGUGAUCCUCCCACUGUAGCCUCCUGAGUAGCUGGGACCACAGGUAUGUGCUACCAUGCUCAGCUAAGUGUUGUAUUUUUUGUAGAGAAAAGGUUUUGACAGCUGGCUGUGGUGGCUCACGCCUAUAAUCCCAGCACUUUGGGAGGCCGAGGAGGGCAUAUUAUGAGAUCACAAGUUCGAGACCAGCCUGGCCAAUAUGGUGAAAUCCUGUCUCUACUAAAAUACAAAAACUAGCUGGGCGUAGUGGUGUGCACCUGUAGACCUAGCUACUCAGGAGGCUGAGGCAAGAAAAUCGCUUGAACCCAGGAGGCAGAGCUUGCAGUGAGCCAAGAUUGCACCAUCGCACUUGAGCCUGGGCAACAGUGGGAAACUCCGUCUCAAACAAACAAACAACAAAAAAAGAGAAAGAAAGGGUUUGACAUGUUGCUCAGGCUGGUCUCGAACUCCUGGGCUCAAGCCAUUUGCUCACCUUAGCCUCCCAAAGUGCUGGGAUUAUAGGUGUGAGCCAUUGCACCUAGACUGUGACUUAUGCUUCUGAUUGACUAGCUCUAAACUGAGGUUCUCAUAAUCCCCUCCUUGGGUUCAAUAAUUUGCUAAGAUGGCUCACAGAACCCAGGAAGAUGUUUACCAGUUUAUUAUGAAGGAUAUAAUAAAGGACAGAGGUAAACAGCCA
rnacentral:lncRNA from 13 species